rnacentral:rRNA from 1 species
GCAGUCGAGGGGUAUUGGUUUUCGGACCAGAGACCGGCGCACGGGUGCGUAACGCGUAUGCAAUCUACCUUUCACAGAGGGAUAGCCCAGAGAAAUUUGGAUUAAUACCUCAUAGUAUUAUGACCCGGCAUCGGGAUGUAAUUAAAGUCACAACGGUGAAAGAUGAGCAUGCGUCCCAUUAGCUAGUUGGUAAGGUAACGGCUUACCAAGGCAACGAUGGGUAGGGGUCCUGAGAGGGAGAUCCCCCACACUGGUACUGAGACACGGACCAGACUCCUACGGGAGGCAGCAGUGAGGAAUAUUGGUCAAUGGGCGCAAGCCUGAACCAGCCAUGCCGCGUGCAGGAUGACGGUCCUAUGGAUUGUAAACUGCUUUUGUACGAGAAGAAACAACAUUACGUGUAAUGUCUUGACGGUAUCGUAAGAAUAAGGAUCGGCUAACUCCGUGCCAGCAGCCGCGGUAAUACGGAGGAUCCAAGCGUUAUCCGGAAUCAUUGGGUUUAAAGGGUCCGUAGGCGGUCUAGUAAGUCAGUGGUGAAAGCCCAUCGCUCAACGGUGGAACGGCCAUUGAUACUGCUGGACUUUGAAUAUUAGGAAGUAACUAGAUUAUGUA